rnacentral:rRNA from 1 species
GACGAACGCUGGCGGCGUGCUUAACACAUGCAAGUCGAACGGAAAGGCCCUGCUUUUGUGGGGUGCUCGAGUGGCGAACGGGUGAGUAACACGUGAGUAACCUGCCCUUGACUUUGGGGUAACUUCAGGAAACUGGGGCUAAUACCGGAUAGGAGCUCCUGCUGCAUGGUGGGGGUUGGAAAGUUUCAGCGGUUGGGGAUGGACUCGCGGCUUAUCAGCUUGUUGGUGGGGUAGUGGCUUACCAAGGCUUUGACGGGUAGCCGGCCUGAGAGGGUGACCGGCCACAUUGGGACUGAGAUACGGCCCAGACUCCUACGGGAGGCAGCAGUGGGGAAUAUUGCACAAUGGGCGGAGGCCUGAUGCAGCAACGCCGCGUGCGGGAUGACGGCCUUCGGGUUGUAAACCGCUUUCGCCUGUGACGAAGCGUGAGUGACGGUAAUGGGUAAAGAAGCACCGGCUAACUACGUG